UACGUAGGGGGCUAGCGUUGUCCGGAUUUAUUGGGCGUAAAGAGCGUGUAGGCGGCCAUGUAGGUCCGGUGUGAAAACUCGAGGCUUAACCUCGAGAUGUCAUCGGAAACCAUUUGGCUAGAGUCCGGAAGAGGAGAGUGGAAUUCCUGGUGUAGCGGUGAAAUGCGCAGAUAUCGGGAGGAACACCAGUAGCGAAGGCGGCUCGCUGGGCCAUUCCUGACGCUGAGACGCGAAAGCUAGGGGAGCGAACAGG
rnacentral:rRNA from 1 species